CUGAGCUGUUGCAGGUAGUUUUUCCUGUCCUGGUACACUUCUUGGAAUGACUGAAUCUGUAGAAAAAAUGCUGUGAUGAAGCAGACUAGUCAACAUAUGUUGGGGCAAGAAGGAACAUGGAUUUUUUUUCCAGUCAGAUUUCCAAACAUGGCCACAUGCUUGGGGACCAAUGAGUCAGUUGGCCAGUUGGUUGGUUGAUUGGUUGUUGUCUUUCAUUCUUGAAGAGGACCAAAAU